GAUAAUAGUUUUGCACUCUUUAUAUCCAACAUUAGAUCGUCUAUUUUAUUUAAAAAAUUUUAUGGUUAGCAUUUUUAUUGUUAUUAGAUGAUGAAACGGACGAUCAAACGUUGGAUAUGGAAACUACAACUGCACUUAAA
rnacentral:pre_miRNA from 1 species